AUGUAUACAUAUGUAUGUAUAUAUGUAUGUAUACAUAUUUAUGUAUGUAUGUACACGUAUGUUAAAGUUGAAAGUAAGUUAAAGUAGCAAUGAUUGUCACACACAUACCAGGUGUGGCAAAAUUCUUCUCUGCAUUUGACCCAUCACCCUUGAUCACCUCCUGGGAGGUGAGGGGAGCAGUGAGCAGCAGCGGAGCCGCGCCCGGGAAUCAUUUUAUGGUGAUUUAACCCCCAAUUCCAAGCCUUGAUGCUGAGUGCCAAGCAGGGAGGUAAUGGCUCUCAUUUUUAAAGUCUUUGGUAUGACUCGGCCAGGAAUUGAACUCACAACCUACCCAUCUGAGGGCGGACACUCUAACCACUAAGCCACUGAGUAUGUAUAUGUAUGUAUGUUUAGAUACAUAAGUAUGUAUGUGUGACAGGUUUGUGUCGCGGGGUUCUUCAGGAUGGAAGAAUCACAGCAGGUCUUCAGGGGGACAAUUCUUUUUAACGUCUUUUCACACAAAAUUUCUUCUUUUGCUCAUUCACCAAUGUCUUUUCUUUUUCUUUUUCACAGAAUUUCUUCUUUUUGUUCGUUCACCAAGUCUUUUCAGUCUUAGUUUGUUCACUCACAAUAUUUUUACUCUUCUUUGUUUCAAAAGUCUCUCAUCGUGUGGUCUCUUCUGGCCCUUCAGCCCCGUCCUGCGGUCACCAACACUGCUGAAUAGAGACAGAGGACACAACUGGAAUUACAGACACCAUUUCCCAACAUCUGAAGACCAUCAAUAAUCAGGAAGGAUCUCACCUGAAGUAAUCACAUCCACUCUUUUAAGUCUGCAGCUCCAACUCAAACUUCAGGCCAACAAACUCUGCUUGAGGACAAUUUAGCAAAUACAGAAGUGACAACACAGACCAGGAUGGCUGACGUCAUUCUCGUCCGGACAGAAGAAUGACACGGCAGUCCGACUGGAUCAAAAGACACGUCGGAGACGCUUUACUGAACGAACCAACAGUUGCUUUAUUACAAGCGAGUGUCCUUAAGCAGGUCUGCAGUACCUGGAGGAGGCCAGACAGAAGAAUGACACGGCAGUCCGACUGGAUCAACAGACACGUCGGAGACGCUUUCCUGAACGAACCAACAGUUGCUUUAUUACAAGCGAGUGUCAUUAAGCAGGUCUGCAGUACCUGGAGGAGGCCAGGUAAAAAAAAAUGAAGGACGUCUAACUGGAGAAGCAAAAUAACAGAAGGAUUACUCGGCAGUCCGGCUGGAUCUACAGACACGUCGGAGACGCUUUACUGAACGAACCAAAAGUUUCUUUAUUACAAGCAAGUGUCAUUAAGCAGGUCUGCAGUGCCUGGAGGAGGCCAGAAUGAUUACACGGCAGUGCGACUGGAUCAAAAGAGACGUCGGAGACGCUUCGCAGAACAAAACGUUGCUUUAGUACAAGCAAGUCUGAGGUGAGGCAAACAAUUCUCCUGCCUCACGAUAGGGGCGCUCAUGAUCAGAGACAUACGGUGGCGUAAGCGAGUCAAGUUCCACAGCGAGUAACAUGUUUGUGUGUUGCUUGAGCCAUCAAAACGGCAGGGAGAAAAAGGCUGAGGUGAGGCAAACAGGUCUCGUGCCUCACGGUAGGGGCUACCAUUAGCUUAAAACUAUAGAGGUCAACAUAACUUUGUUUUCCAACCACGGGAAUUGAUAUUCACAGACUUAAAGAAACAAAUCAUCAAAAAAAUGGCUGAGCGCGUCAAGGAAUUCCAGUUUAUCGCUGCUAGUUUGCACCGUACUGAAGCAGAUUGAGUUUAACGCCGACCAAGAAUGUUAAAAAUAUUUCUUAACGGCGGAUAUAUAUCCAUGAAAAUAUGUAAAAGCUGCUGAUGGUGUGUUUGACGGCGGAGCAGCUGGAAGGAGAUACCAAUGAAUUCCACUCUCCUGUGUAAAUGCUGUGAAUUAUUAUUAUUACAGAACUUCAUAAAAGUACUCUAACCCAGUGCUUCUCAAAUGUAAGUUCAUAAAGUGUGAAAAAGAAAUACAACAAUGCAAUAUUCAGUGUUGACAGCUAGAUUUUUUGUAGACAUGUUCCAUAAAUAUUGAUGUUAAAGAUUUCUUUUUUUGUGAAGAAAUGUUUAGAAUGAAGUUGAUGAAUCCAGAUGGAUCUCUAUUACAAUCCCCAAAGAGGGAACUUUAAGUUGAUCAUUACUUCUAUGUGGAGAAAUAUUUAUUUAUAAUUGAAUCACUUGUUUAUUUUGCAACACAUUUUUUAAUUAUUGUUGUAUCUUUCUCUCCAAGACCACUACAAAUGAGCAAUAUUUUGCACAAUUUAAU